CCUACGGGUGGCAGCAGUGGGGAAUAUUGCACAAUGGGGGAAACCCUGAUGCAGCGACGCCGCGUGAGUGAAGAAGUACUUCGUUAUGUAAAGCUCUAUCAUCAGGGAAGAAUAUUACGGUACCUGAGUAAGAAGCCCCUGCUAACUACGUGCCAGCAGCCGCGGUAAUACGUCGGGGGCAAGCGUUAUCCGGAAUUACUGGGAGUAACGGGAGCGUAGACGGUAGUGCAAGUCGGGAGUGAAAGCCGGGGGCUCAAGCCCCGAACUGCUUUGGAAACUGUCCGGCUGGAGUGCAGGAGAGGUAAGUGGAAGUCCUAGUGUAGCGGUGAAAUGCGUAGAUAGUAGGAGGAACACCAGUGGCGAAGGCGGCUUACUGGACUGUAACUGACGUUGAGGCUCGAAAGCGUGGGGAGCAAACAGGAUUAGAUACCCGGGUAGUC
rnacentral:rRNA from 1 species